GCCUCUGUGGUGUAGUGGUAGCACGCGCCCCCGGUACGGGUGAAACACAGGUUCAACUCCCGCAUGAGGUC